UGUGUCUAAUCACGCACGGCUUGAGCUGUAGCGAAACAAGAUUAUGAUGUCUGAUCUGCCAAGACACACGGAACAGAUAAAAUGGAAACUACCUUAAUUUCGGCUGCAUGUCGGAUUGAAGUAACAUCUUGGGCUCAUCGCAAUUGGCUCCUGUGGACACAUCACAACCCGGCCAUGCCCUUUUCUCGUUUUUUGUACGAACAUGUAAUUUGUAUCAGCGAAGUUGUAUAAAUAAAUAAGUAAAUCAAUGGACCCGUCCAAUACCCAAUAUAUAUAGUGAUAAUUGUUUGCGUAGGGAACAUAAAAAUGAUUUGCGUUUUACCAAUACCUAUAACCAUGAGACAGUUAUGGAAAAGGAGAUUUGUAUAUAAACUGGAACUAAGUUGUGGAAUGAUUUUUCAUAUCUAAUAAAAU
rnacentral:lncRNA from 1 species